GCUUGCACCUUUCAAGCGAGUGGCGAACGGGUGAGUAACACGUGGAUAACCUGCCUCAAGGCUGGGGAUAACAUUUGGAAACAGAUGCUAAUACCGAAUAAAACUUAGUAUCGCAUGAUACAAAGUUGAAAGGCGCUACGGCGUCACCUAGAGAUGGGUCCGCGGUGCAUUAGUUAGUUGGUGGGGUAAAGGCCUACCAAGACAAUGAUGCAUAGCCGAGUUGAGAGACUGAUCGGCCACAUUGGGACUGAGACACGGCCCAAACUCCUACGGGAGGCUGCAGUAGGGAAUCUUCCACAAUGGGCGAAAGCCUGAUGGAGCAACGCCGCGUGUGUGAUGAAGGCUUUAGGGUCGUAAAGCACUGUUGUAUGGGAAGAAAUGCUAGAAUAGGGAAUGAUUCUAGUUCGACGGUACCAUACCAGAAAGGGACGGCUAAAUACGUGCCAGCAGCCGCGGUAAUACGUAUGUCCCGAGCGUUAUCCGGAUUUAUUGGGCGUAAAGCGAGCGCAGACGGUUGAUUAAGUCUGAUGUGAAAGCCCGGAGCUCAACUCCGGAAUGGCAUUGGAAACUGGUUAACUUGAGUGUUGUAGAGGUAAGUGGAACUCCUUGGUGAGAGCGG
rnacentral:rRNA from 1 species